rnacentral:rRNA from 1 species
UACGAAGGGGGCUAGCGUUGCUCGGAAUCACUGGGCGUAAAGCGCACGUAGGCGGCUUAUUAAGUCAGGGGUGAAAUCCUGGAGCUUAACUCCAGAACUGCCUUUGAUACUGAUGAGCUUGAGUCCGGGAGAGGUGAGUGGAACUGCGAGUGUAGAGGUGAAAUUCGUAGAUAUUCGCAAGAACACCAGUGGCGAAGGCGGCUCACUGGCCCGGUACUGACGCUGAGGUGCGAAAGCGUGGGGAGCGAACAGG